CAACUGACUAGGUAUCCCCAUUUCCCUUUCCAACUGACUAGGUAUCCCCCCUUUCCAACUGACUAGGUAUCCCCAUUUCCCUUUCCAACUGACUAGGUAUCCCCCAUUUCCCUUUCCAACUGACUAGGUAUCCCCAUUUCCCUUUCCCAAUAACUGGAAGCAUGUAACUGUAUUUCCUAGAAGGUUGUUGUCUUGGGCACCUGGAGGUUCAGCAGUGUGACCCAAUCAGCAAUUUCCCUGUAUGUAUCCAGUGAAAAGGAUGUGUCUUCUCAGGUUUUGGCCUGCCAUAUGAGUUCUGUUAUACUCACAGACACCAUUCAAACAGUUUUAGAAACUUC
rnacentral:lncRNA from 1 species